rnacentral:lncRNA from 1 species
UCUACCCUCUCUGUUCGGCUUUGGCCAUUCAGAAAGCCAGUGGUGGCAGCGGCAGGCUGUUGUUGAGCCCUGACCGCAUCCUCCUCUUCCUGAGCCUCUCUGCAAUGAUGAAGGCAAGCUCCAGGGACUGGGAGGCGUUCAGUCUUGGGUCACAGUGGGUGUGGUAGCGGUCGCUCAGGUCGUCAAAGGUCACAGUCCGUGAUCCACCAAUGCACUCGGUCACGUUCUGCCCAGUCAUUUCAAGGUGGAUACCUCCUGGGUGACUUCCUUCUUGGUCAUGCACGUCGAAGAAUGCGCGCACUUCAGCCUGUUAGAUAUAGUGGAGUUCGUGAUUAGAGCAAUGAUAUCAGUUGGAAGGUCAGGAUGGAAUGUUUCUAGAUAAAGUGUAAAUACUCCAGUGAAAAUACAUUGAUCAAAGCCAUUGUCAACCAAUUCAUUUAUCAAAUAUAUUACUCUUAGAGUGACAUUUUAACAUCCAUUCAUGAAGCUAAAAAGACAUCAGCAAAUGGCUUGUAUCAAAGCUUAAGCUGAAAACUCGUCAAUAGCAGCACCUAAAAUGCUGACCCAAAGUAUGCUUAAAAAUGAAUUUGAACAAGAUCAUUUAGCCCCCGCCCAGCAAAGACCUGUUAAGGAUAAGUGGCGCAGUGACCUUACUUCUAUUAAAUCAUAAGCAGAUACAAUAUUCCAGAAGUAUGAUGUAUGCCCUAAAGUCCUGCAAUCUUACAGACUAGUAGAAACACAGAGCAAAAGAAUGGAUAGGAACUUUAGAUAUCAUUCCAUAUUCUCGAUACAGAUAUGAACGCUCAAACAAAACUGAGACUCAUUCAAACUUAUCAUAACAGAAACGCAUACUAGCGAAUAAUGAAGAAAUUUGCAGUGGAAGGUGAC